rnacentral:rRNA from 1 species
AUGAACGCUAGCGACAGGCUUAACACAUGCAAGUCGAGGGGCAGCACAGGUAGCAAUACCGGGUGGCGACCGGCGCACGGGUGAGUAACGCGUAUGCAACUUGCCUAUCAGAGGGGGAUAACCCGGCGAAAGUCGGACUAAUACCGCAUGAAGCAGGGGCCCCGCAUGGGGAUAUUUGCUAAAGAUUCAUCGCUGAUAGAUAGGCAUGCGUUCCAUUAGGCAGUUGGCGGGGUAACGGCCCACCAAACCGACGAUGGAUAGGGGUUCUGAGAGGAAGGUCCCCCACAUUGGUACUGAGACACGGACCAAACUCCUACGGGAGGCAGCAGUGAGGAAUAUUGGUCAAUGGCCGAGAGGCUGAACCAGCCAAGUCGCGUGAGGGAUGAAGGUUCUAUGGAUCGUAAACCUCUUUUAUAAGGGAAUAAAGUGCGGGACGUGUCCCGUUUUGUAUGUACCUUAUGAAUAAGGAUCGGCUAACUCCGUGCCAGCAGCCGCGGUAAUACGGAGGAUCCGAGCGUUAUCCGGAUUUAUUGGGUUUAAAGGGUGCGUAGGCGGCCUUUUAAGUCAGCGGUGAAAGUCUGUGGCUCAACCAUAGAAUUGCCGUUGAAACUGGGGGGCUUGAGUAUGUUUGAGGCAGGCGGAAUGCGUGGUGUAGCGGUGAAAUGCAUAGAUAUCACGCAGAACCCCGAUUGCGAAGGCAGCCUGCCAAGCCAUUACUGACGCUGAUGCACGAAAGCGUGGGGAUCAAACAGGAUUAGAUACCCUGGUAGUCCACGCAGUAAACGAUGAUCACUAGCUGUUUGCGAUACACUGUAAGCGGCACAGCGAAAGCGUUAAGUGAUCCACCUGGGGAGUACGCCGGCAACGGUGAAACUCAAAGGAAUUGACGGGGGCCCGCACAAGCGGAGGAACAUGUGGUUUAAUUCGAUGAUACGCGAGGAACCUUACCCGGGCUUGAAAGUUAGUGACGAUUCUGGAAACAGGAUUUCCCUUCGGGGCACGAAACUAGGUGCUGCAUGGUUGUCGUCAGCUCGUGCCGUGAGGUGUCGGCUUAAGUGCCAUAACGAGCGCAACCCUUGCCACUAGUUACUAACAGGUAAAGCUGAGGACUCUGGUGGGACUGCCAGCGUAAGCUGCGAGGAAGGCGGGGAUGACGUCAAAUCAGCACGGCCCUUACAUCCGGGGCGACACACGUGUUACAAUGGCGUGGACAAAGGGAAGCCACCUGGCGACAGGGAGCGAAUCCCCAAACCACGUCUCAGUUCGGAUCGGAGUCUGCAACCCGACUCCGUGAAGCUGGAUUCGCUAGUAAUCGCGCAUCAGCCAUGGCGCGGUGAAUACGUUCCCGGGCCUUGUACACACCGCCCGUCACACCAUGGGAGUUGGGAAUGCCCGAAGCCAGUGACCUAACCGAAAGGAAGGAGCUGUCGAAGGCAGGCUCGAUAACUGGGGUG